GACCUCGCUGGUCUGGCAGUUCGGUAGCUUGCGCCUGCUGGGCUAUGGCCUCGACCCGCUGGCGGUGCUGGUGCCGUUCCUGGUCU
rnacentral:tRNA from 1 species